GACGAACGCUGGCGGCGUGCCUAAUACAUGCAAGUUGAGCGCUGAAGGUUGGUACUUGUACCAACUGGAUGAGCAGCGAACGGGUGAGUAACGCGUGGGGAAUCUGCCCUUGAGCGGGGGACAACAUUUGGAAACGAAUGCUAAUACCGCAUAAAAACUUUAAACACAAGUUUUAAGCUUGAAAGAUGCAAUUGCAUCACUCAAAGAUGAUCCCGCGUUGUAUUAGCUAGUUGGUGAGGUAAAGGCUCACCAAGGCGAUGAUACAUAGCCGACCUGAGAGGGUGAUCGGCCACAUUGGGACUGAGACACGGCCCAAACUCCUACGGGAGGCAGCAGUAGGGAAUCUUCGGCAAUGGACGAAAGUCUGACCGAGCAACGCCGCGGGAGUGAAGAAGGGUUUCGGAUCGUAAAACUCUGUUGGUAGAGAAGAACGUUGGUGAGAGUGGAAAGCUCAUCAAGUGACGGUAACUACACAGAAAGGGACGGCUAACUACGUG
rnacentral:rRNA from 1 species